rnacentral:lncRNA from 1 species
UGAAGCUUCACAACUUACAGCAGGGAGAAGCAGGCGAGGCUGCCAAGGGUCACGGAAGGAUGGUGGCUCCAUCCAUCUCAGCAGCUUCCAGAGUAGCUCGUGGAAAGCUACAGCAUCACACCCUCGACUGCAGCAUCCACAACCACUGGGUACAAAGCAGCCUCAUGGUUGCCAACAGACUGAAGCACAAAAGCCUGAUUGUAGGAAAUGCACAGCCAGGUGGUGAAAACAUCAUUUUGGGAUGGAGUCCUGACCUGUGAUAUGUGGUGUGAAGCAGCCACAUCUUCUCAGCAGGAGAUUGUGUUUGACUCAUCCCCAUUCCUUUGGCUCAGGGAGGAGACACUCCCCUCCUGGCUCCUCCUGUAUCCCGCAUGGCAUC